GUAUUUAGUUAGGAUGUUUUCAUCAAGGUCCAUAGAAUAGCUCAAUGGUAGAGUAUUUCCCAUUGCACUCCGGGUGUGCUGACCCCUGCGAUUUCCCCAAAUGUGGGAAACUCAACUGCAUAAUUUUUGGUAGUGGGGGACUGUGUUCGUGCUCUCCCCUG